rnacentral:misc_RNA from 1 species
AAAUAAACAGCUUCUUAAUACGGUGCUGCUGCUUCUCCUUCUCGAGUCUGUUGAAAACAGAUCAUCAUCUAAUACUCUACUAUAUAGUCCGUUCACGACUUUGGGUCGGAUCCCCCGUCUCAUUCUGCCAAUAUCUCACGAGCCACUCCUAUCGUCGCCGGCGAUUAUGAUGCGGUCCACCGUCCCAUCACUAACAUUGCUCUCCUUCCUCGCCGCCUUGCUCCUCGUCUCGCCGGCGCUUGCUUCCGAGUCCGAUCACAAGUAUCAAUCAGAUGACCCAGUAACCUUAUGGGUAAAUAAAGUUGGGCCCUACAAUAACCCACAGGAAACAUACAACUAUUACAGCCUUCCGUUUUGUCAUGCAUCUGGUUCUCACAAAUGGGGUGGCCUUGGUGAAGUUUUGGGUGGAAACGAGCUUAUUGAUAGUCAGAUUGACAUAAAGUUCCAAAAAAACGUUGACAAGGGUAGCAUUUGUGAGCUUGAGCUUGAUGAAGCGAAGGUCAAGCAAUUUAAGGAUGCUAUAGAAAACAAUUAUUGGUUUGAAUUCUUCAUUGAUGAUCUACCGAUGUGGGGUUUUGUUGGUGAGCAACAUCCUGACAGAAACAGUGAUAAUAAGCACGUACUUUACACACAUAAGAACAUACAUAUCAAAUACAAUAAGGACCAGAUCAUUCAUGUCAAUAUCUCUCAAGAGGGCCCAAAGCCUUUGGAGGCUGGGAGAACCUUGGACAUGACAUAUUCUGUCAAAUGGGAGCCAACCAAUAUCAGUUUUGCUCGUCGCUUUGAAGUUUACUUGGAUUACCCAUUUUUUGAGCAUCAGAUUCAUUGGUUUUCCAUCUUUAAUUCAUUCAUGAUGGUCAUCUUUCUUACUGGUCUGGUGUCUAUGAUAUUGAUGCGGACGUUAAGGAAUGAUUAUGCCAAAUAUGCUCGGGAAGAUGAUGACCUGGAGACUCUGGAAAGAGAUGCGAGUGAAGAGUCUGGU